CAGACGACUUCCAGGAAGUCUUCCAGACGACUUCCAGCAAGUCUUCCACACGACUUCAAAGAAGUCUUCCACACGACUUCCAGAAAGUCUUCCAGACGAUUUCUUGGAAGUCUUCCAGACGACUUCUUGGAAGUCUUCCAACCGACUUCUUGGAAAUCUUCCAAACGACUUCCUGUAAGUCUUCUAACGGAGUCUUCUUCCAUAUUAGGUGGUGUCUAAGCUUGUCUUUGUAGAAGAAUGAUCAAAAAUUGUUUUGUUUGUAGUAUGUUUUGUAAUUUUCAUGUAUACUCAUUUAGUUGUGACUUUUUUUGUAAAUUUGAAGAGAUAUUAAUAAAAAUAUUUGGUAAAUAUGUUCAUUUUCCACAAUAUUAUCUUGCCAAAAUUACUUGACAUAAUUGAAGUUAUUGAUACAACUUCAAUAGCAAAACACAAUAAAACAAAAAAUUAAUCAAAUUUAUUACAACUAAGGGAGAAGAAGUCUAAAGAAAACUUAGUCGAAUUUACAAAAUAUAAAACAUCACAUACGUUCAAAGAUAGAACACUUUAAUUAGAUACAUAAGUAAAAAGUAUAUUUUAUGAUCUAAGAAGACACAUUAAAACAUGUUACUUGAUAUUCUUGAACUUACUUAAUACUUUUGAAAAUUAAAUAAACAUAUCUUAAAAUUGCAUAACAAAUUUACAAAAACUAACGUAGAAGACUUAUGUGUAAGUGUUCUCAAUUAGGUAGAAACUUUACUAAGCAUGAAUGUUGGUAACCUCAUAAAUAUCACCAAUUAAGUUAUAAAUUUCAUUCAGUAGCCCCAGUAUUGACUAAUAUACAUAAAUUAACAAAACAAAUUUUAAAAGUCUUUAUAAUUUUAGAGAAAAUGAAAGUUUAUUAAACAUUGACGCAGGCGACUUCCACAGAGGUCGUCUGAUAGACUUCUAAUAAUUCGUCCAUUUAGGUUAGUUUUGCAAUUGAUUUUUAACCUAGACAACUUACAUGGAAGUCGUCCAUCUUUGUUUGUUAAAAAAAAAUUCGAGACGAUUUCUAUGUAAAUCGUCUAAGGAAAACAUGUUAGUUUUGCAUUUGACUGGAUUGUAUCAGAAAUUUAACUUUUCCUGGAUGACUUACACAUAAAUCGUCUAGUAGAAAAUUAAAAAAAAUUAAUAUUUUGUUAUACCUAGACGACUUCCAUAUAAGUCGUCAUAGGUUAGUUUUGAAAUUGAAAAAAAAAAAUAAAAAAAAUUAUUUUUUUAAGACGACUUACGAGAAAGUCGUCCAUCCGACAACUUACAUGGAAGUCGUCCAAGAUAAGCAAGGUUUGACCACAAUCUCAGAAUAAAAUCAUGGACGGCUUUCGUGUAAGUCGUCUAAACAAAAAUAAUAUUUUUUUAUUUUUCAAUUGCAAAACUAACAUGGGACGACUUACAUUGAAUUCGUCUAGGUAUAACAAAAUAUUGAUUUUUUUAAUUUUCUACUAGACGACUUACAUGGAAAAGUCAAAUUUCUGACACAAUCCGGUCAAAUGCAAAUCUAACUCGUUUACCUUAGACGAUUUACAUGGAACUCGUCUCGAAUUUUUUUUAACAAACAAAGAUAGACUAAUUCCAUGUAAGUCGUCUAGAAAAAACUCAUUAAAAAGUCAAUUGCAAAACUAACAUCUACAUUGACCAGAAGGCUUCCAUGUAAAUCGUUUACACCCAGACCUCUUACCCGGAAGUCAUCUGGAUGAACAGAUCUUGAAAAAAAAAACUAAUUUCAUAGUUUCAACCAAUGAGAUAACUUGUUUAGCACACAAAAGUUUUUUCCAAGCAUCCAGAAUCUCAAACAAAAGUGACCCACCAAGAAUCAUAAGCUUCAAUGGCUCAAUGAACCAUAAAAAAAUUAGAAUCAAAAUCUUGGGUUUUUUUUAUGAAUAUGAAGAGAAAGUGAAAGAAAUAUUGUUUUUAAUUCAUAAGAAUUGAGAAAGAAUGAGAGUAAAUCGAUUUGAGGUGCAUUAACAGUUUCAAAUUGGUUUUUCAUGAUGGUUGAUGUAUUGAUAACAAUAAUAUUCUUGUAAAUACUUGAAAAUGAUGAGGUUGAGAGAGUAAAAAUACCAUUUUCAAAAAAAAAAAAA